rnacentral:rRNA from 1 species
UACGAAGGGGGCUAGCGUUGUUCGGAAUUACUGGGCGUAAAGGGCGCGCAGGCGGCCGCUCAAGUCAGAUGUGAAAGCCCCGGGCUCAACCUGGGAACUGCAUUUGAUACUGAGUGGCUAGAGUUCGGGAGAGGAGAGUGGAAUUCCCAGUGUAGAGGUGAAAUUCGUAGAUAUUCGGAGGAACACCAGUGGCGAAGGCGGCUCACUGGCUCGAUACUGACGCUGAGGUGCGAAAGCGUGGGGAGCAAACAGG